UACGAAGGGGGCUAGCGUUGUUCGGAUUUACUGGGCGUAAAGCGCACGUAGGCGGAUCGUUAAGUCGGGGGUGAAAUCCUGGAGCUCAACUCCAGAACUGCCUUCGAUACUGGCGAUCUUGAGUCCGGAAGAGGUGAGUGGAACUCCUAGUGUAGAGGUGGAAUUCGUAGAUAUUAGGAAGAACACCAGUGGCGAAGGCGGCUCACUGGUCCGGUACUGACGCUGAGGUGCGAAAGCAUGGGGAGCGAACAGG
rnacentral:rRNA from 1 species